UGGGGAAUAUUGCACAAUGGAGGGAACUCUGAUGCAGCGACGCCGCGUGAACGAAGAAGGCUUUCGAGUCGUAAAGUUCUUUUAUAUGGGAAGAUAAUGACGGUACCAUAAGAAAAAGCCCCGGCUAACUACGUGCCAGCAGCCGCGGUAAUACGUAGGGGGCUAGCGUUGUCCGGAAUCACUGGGCGGAAAGGGUUCGCAGGCGGAAAUGCAAGUCAGGUGUAAAAGGCAGUAGCUUAACUACUGUAAGUAUUUGAAACUGCAUAUCUUGAGAAGAGUAGAGGUAAGUUGAAUUUUUAUGGUAGCGGUGAAAUGCGUAAAUAUUAAACAGGAUACCCGUGGCGGAGGCGGCUUACUGGGCUCAUUCUGACGCUGCGGAACGAAAGCGUGGGUAGCAAACAGG
rnacentral:rRNA from 1 species